rnacentral:rRNA from 1 species
UACGAAGGGGGCUAGCGUUGCUCGGAAUCACUGGGCGUAAAGGGCGCGUAGGCGGCUUCUCAAGCGUGUGGUGAAAGUCCGGGGCUCAACCCCGGGAGGCGGGUGGAUACUGUCGAGCUAGAGUCCGGAAGAGGCGAGUGGAAUUCCUGGUGUAGCGGCGAAAUGCGCAGAUAUCAGGAGGAACACCAAUGGCGAAGGCAGCUCGCUGGGACGUGACUGACGCUGAGACGCGAAAGCGUGGGGAGCAAACAGG